rnacentral:rRNA from 1 species
UAGGGAAUCUUCGGCAAUGGACGGAAGUCUGACCGAGCAACGCCGCGUGAGUGAAGAAGUUUUUCGGAUCGUAAAGCUCUGUUGUAAGAGAAGAACGAGUGUGAGAGUGGAAAGUUCACACUGUGACGGUAUCUUACCAGAAAGGGACGGCUAACUACGUGCCAGCAGCCGCGGUAAUACGUAGGUCCCGAGCGUUGUCCGGAUUUAUUGGGCGUAAAGCGAGCGCAGGCGGUUAGAUAAGUCUGAAGUUAAAGGCUGUGGCUUAACCAUAGUAGGCUUUGGAAACUGUUUAACUUGAGUGCAAGAGGGGAGAGUGGAAUUCCAUGUGUAGCGGUGAAAUGCGUAGAUAUAUGGAGGAGCACCGGUGGCGAAAGCGGCUCUCUGGCUUGUAACUGACGCUGAGGCUCGAAAGCGUGGGGAGCAAACAGGAUUAGAUACCCUGGUAGUCCACGCUGUAAACGAUGAGUGCUAGGUGUUAGACCCUUUCCGGGGUUUAGUGCCGUAGCUAACGCAUUAAGCACUCCGCCUGGGGAGUACGACCGCAAGGUUG